rnacentral:rRNA from 1 species
AGUGAACGCUGGCGGUAGGCCUAACACAUGCAAGUCGAACGGCAACACAGUAAGCUCUUGCUCUUACGGGUGGCGAGUGGCGGACGGGUGAGGAAUACAUCGGAAUCUACUUUUUCGUGGGGGAUAACGUAGGGAAACUUACGCUACUACCGCAUACGACCUACGGGUGAAAGCAGGGGAUCUUCGGACCUUGCGCGAUUGAAUGAGCCGAUGUCGGAUUAGCUAGUUGGCGGGGUAAAGGCCCACCAAGGCGACGAUCCGUAGCUGGUCUGAGAGGAUGAUCAGCCACACUGGAACUGAGACACGGUCCAGACUCCUACGGGAGGCAGCAGUGGGGAAUAUUGGACAAUGGGCGCAAGCCUGAUCCAGCCAUACCGCGUGGGUGAAGAAGGCCUUCGGGUUGUAAAGCUCUGUUGUUGGGAAAGAAAAGCAGCAUGUUAAUACCCCGCUGUUCUGACGGUACCCAAAGAAUAAGCACCGGCUAACUUCGUG